GCCUGUGAUUUCUUCAACUGCAGGCCACCUUUUUUAAAGAAAAGAAGCGUAAUAUUACAGCUUAAUGACCAACCUUUUCCACAUCCAUAUUUGGAGAGCUCGGAGUACAAAAAUCAACCGGCGCUUUUACUUCCGGUAACGCAAACCAGCAAGCUUCUCUGUUUGUAAAACAUGUGACUUCUUCCGGGAUUCAAACAGCACUCCCGUCAAAUGUUGUAUUUGUGGUUAUCUGGAUGUUCCCUACGGAUCUGAGGGUCACUUGUGUUUUCGUUUACUCAAGAGGGUCUUGGAAAUGUAUUAUUGGGUAUGGUUUCAACUCGGUGCGUUCUUGACAACCUGUUUUCUGGAAACUCCCUUUUCCCCUUCUGUGCUCCAUUAUGCCAUUUCCCCCACCAUCAUUUAAAGGCAGAUCUGCCUAAUUGGCAGCUGCCAAAACAAUACGAGAACUGAAAACAGCAGCCAGCCAUUGAUGUUCUCGCUUCUCUGCAUUUUGCAACGCAGUUCCCCAGCCGUGUAAUGCAUACAAAAAUCCGUAGGUGUGCAUAAUACAUACAUUCAUGAAGACAGCAGAUGCAAGUGUACAGUCAUACUUCAGGUUACAGGCGCUUCAGGUUGCGGGUUUUUUGGGUUAUGGACCGCCGAAACCCAGAAGUACUGGAACAGGUUACUUCCAGGUUUCGGCAGUCGCACAUGCACAGAAGUGCUAAAUCGCGCUUUGAGCAUGCACAGAAGCACUGAAUUGCAACCCGCAGACACGCACCUGCGGGUUGCGAACGUGCAACCCAAGCGUCCGCUGUAUUAUAUUAGAGGAAACUGCACGCUGUGGAUGGAGAAGAAAUUCACACUAAAAUUCCGGUUAAUUUCUAUGAGGGCUCUCCCGCCCCCUAGCAAACAGAUGUGGAAAUGGGAAGAGCUGAACUUUGAGACUGGGAAAACGAAGAAACUGAGGGAAAACCCAAACCGACAGAUUCGACUGUUCCUAGACUCAUGACAUGAUCUGCAGGCCCCACCCCAAACCUCCACAUGUAGCAAGACAUCUGAAGUGGGGCACCUGUGCAUCUCACAGAAUGUGCAGGGGUCAGGGGGUGUGACUUCAGGCCUGGGGGCACGGGGCACAGUUCUGCUCCCCACCCCCCAUGCAAGCACUCCAGGAGUGGAAGAGGGUGAGGGAAAGUGCCCUUUGCUGUGUUGUGCAUUUCCAUGCAUAAACACGCACAUGAUUUUGGGAAACGCCAAAUCAGGAUGCAGGGGAUGGGGGAGGUACACCUGUCCUUUUUGCCCAUUUCCUAAAACAUCUGAGUCAGGGGUGGGGAACCUCAGGCCCACGACACCAAAUGGGGCCCUCCAUCCCUCUUUCUGUGCCAUGAAAAGCCUCCCCAGGCAACAACAGCAACACCCUGCCCAUCUGACUGGGUUGCCGCAGUCACUCUGGACAGCUUCCAACAUAUAU